GAUGAAUGCUGGCGGCGUGCCUAAUACAUGCAAGUCGAGCGAAUGGAUUAAGAGCUUGCUCUUAUGAAGUUAGCGGCGGACGGGUGAGUAACACGUGGGUAACCUGCCCAUAAGACUGGGAUAACUCCGGGAAACCGGGGCUAAUACCGGAUAACAUUUUGAACCGCAUGGUUCGAAAUUGAAAGGCGGCUUCGGCUGUCACUUAUGGAUGGACCCGCGUCGCAUUAGCUAGUUGGUGAGGUAACGGCUCACCAAGGCAACGAUGCGUAGCCGACCUGAGAGGGUGAUCGGCCACACUGGGACUGAGACACGGCCCAGACUCCUACGGGAGGCAGCAGUAGGGAAUCUUCCGCAAUGGACGAAAGUCUGACGGAGCAACGCCGUGUGAGUGAUGAAGGCUUUCGGGUCGUAAAACUCUGUUGUUAGGGAAGAACAAGUGCUAGUUGAAUAAGCUGGCACCUUGACGGUACCUAACCAGAAAGCCACGGCUAACUACGUGCCAGCCGCCGCCGUAA
rnacentral:rRNA from 1 species